rnacentral:rRNA from 1 species
UACAGAGGUGCCGAGCGUUAGGCGGAAUCACUGGGCUUAAAGCGUGUGUAGGCGGACUUCUAAGUACCUUGUGAAAUCCCACGGCUCACCCGUGGAACUGCUGGGUAUACUGGUCGUCUUGAGCCACCUAGGGGCGAGCGGAACAAAUGGUGGAGCGGUGAAAUGCGUAGAUAUCGUCUGGAACGCCAAAGGUGAAAACAGCUCGCUGGGGUUGUGCUGACGCUGAGACACGAAAGCCAGGGGAGCGAACGGG